rnacentral:rRNA from 1 species
GAUGAACGCUGGCGGCGUGCCUAAUACAUGCAAGUCGAGCGAACAGACGAGGAGCUUGCUCCUCUGACGGUAGCGGCGGACGGGUGAGUAACACGUGGAUAACCUACCUAUAAGACUGGGAUAGGUAAGGGAAACUGAUACCAAAACGGACUAAAAUUUAGAACGGGUGGGUUAAAGAGUGAAAGAUGUUUUUGGAGUCACUGACAGAUGAACCGGGGCCGCAUUAGCUAGUUGGUAAGGUAACGGCUUACCAAGGCAACGAUGCGUGGCCGACCUGAGAGGGUGAUCGGCCACACUGGAACUGAGACACGGUCCAGACUCCUACGGGAGGCAGCAGUAGGGAAUCUUCCGCAAUGGGCGAAAGCCUGACGGAGCAACGCCGCGUGAGUGAUGAAGGUCUUCGGAUCGUAAAACUCUGUUAUUAGGGAAGAACAAAUGUGUAAGUAACUAUGCACGUCUUGACGGUACCUAAUCAGAAAGCCACGGCUAACUACGUG